UCCGAAUUGGUGUAGUGGCUAACAUUUGACGCUCUCAUCUUUCCGUGGAAACACGGAUUGGCGGCGCCGUCAAGCCCGGGGUUCGAUUCCCCGAUUCGGAG